GCGCGUGGGGGCGCGGGAGCGGGCGAAGGCGGUGGCGGGGGUUCGCAGCGCUCUGCCCCCCUGCCCGCAGCGACCCGUCCCAGAGCGACCCCAGCACCAAGGACUUCUGGCUGAACAUGGCAGCGCUGACGGGGCACCUGCAGAAGCAGGCGGAGCAGAGCCCGGCGGCCUCCUACUACAACGUGGCGCUCCUCAAGUACCAGGUGAGCCCCGGGGAAAGGGCCAGGACUCCUGGGUCCCCCCCCGGGGGGGCGGCGGGGGUUCGGUCCCCGCUGAGGCUGCCGGUUGCCCCCGCAGUUCUCCAAGCUGGGCCCGGGCUCGGCGCCGCUGCAGCUCUGCGUGCGCUGGGACUGCUCGCCGGGCGCCACGCGGGUCAGCGUGGAGUACAGCUACAACGCCGGCGCCCUCGCCGUGCCCGUGCCCCUCGCCAACGUCCAGGUGCUGCUGCCCGUGGAGGAGCCCGUCACCAACGUGCGGCUGCAGCCCGCGGCCAGCUGGCUGCGGCCGGCUCUCGGCCAGCUGGGAGCCCCUCUACGGGCCCAGCAAGCCCAGCCCCGUGGCGGCCCAGUUCACCAGCGAGGGCAGCACGCUGUCGGGCGUCGAGGUGGAGCUGGCGAGCGCCGGCUACCGCAUGUCGCUGGUCAAGAAGAGGUUUGCCACAGGGAUUUACCUGGCUGGGUCCUGAGCAUCGCCUGCCCCUCGGAUCCUCCGAGCUCCUCCGGGCUUUCCCGUGGUGGUUUGAACUCAAAACACUGGCUGGAGGCUGGCCGGGCAGGGGGUGCUGCCGGCCACCACCGGGGCCCUGGCGAAGGCCCCGGCAUUGCGCUGGCCGGGUAAGAGCCCUCCUCCUCCUCCUCCUCCUCUUCCUCCUGGCUCCCCUCCGUGGUCGCCUUGGCUGUAACCGUCGUCUCCUGCUGGCUGGAGGAUGGUCCCCCCCGUCCUCCUCUGUGCUGUGAAGGGAGCAGGAGCUGCUCUUUUAUUAAACACUUUAUUUUCUAAUAACCCCCCCUCCCGCCGGCUCCUG
rnacentral:lncRNA from 1 species